rnacentral:rRNA from 1 species
UUCCGGUUGAUCCUGCCGGACCCGACUGCUAUCGGGGUGGGGCUAAGCCAUGCGAGUCGUACGCCCGGGGGCGCCCGGGCGUGGCGCACGGCUCAGUAACACGUCGGUAACCUACCCUCGGGAGGGGGAUAACCCCGGGAAACUGGGGCUAAUCCCCCAUAGGCCUGGGGUACUGGAAGGUCCCCAGGCCGAAAGGGCGUAAGCCGCCCGAGGAUGGGCCGGCGGCCGAUUAGGUAGUUGGUGGGGUAACGGCCCACCAAGCCGAAGAUCGGUACGGGCCAUGAGAGUGGGAGCCCGGAGAUGGACACUGAGACACGGGUCCAGGCCCUACGGGGCGCAGCAGGCGCGAAACCUCCGCAAUGCGGGAAACCGCGACGGGGGGACCCCCAGUGCCGUGGCAACGCCACGGCUUUUCCGGAGUGUAAAAAGCUCCGGGAAUAAGGGCUGGGCAAGGCCGGUGGCAGCCGCCGCGGUAAUACCGGCGGCCCAAGUGGUGGCCGCUAUUAUUGGGCCUAAAGCGUCCGUAGCCGGGCCCGUAAGUCCCUGGCGAAAUCCCACGGCUCAACCGUGGGGCUUGCUGGGGAUACUGCGGGCCUUGGGACCGGGAGAGGCCGGGGGUACCCCUGGGGUAGGGGUGAAAUCCUGUAAUCCCAGGGGGACCGCCAGUGGCGAAGGCGCCCGGCUGGAACGGAUCCGACGGUGAGGGACGAAGGCCAGGGGAGCGAACCGGAUUAGAUACCCGGGUAGUCCUGGCUGUAAAGGAUGCGGGCUAGGUGUCGGGCGAGCUUCGAGCUCGCCCGGUGCCGAAGGGAAGCCGUUAAGCCCGCCGCCUGGGGAGUACGGCCGCAAGGCUGAAACUUAAAGGAAUUGGCGGGGGAGCACUACAAGGGGUGGAGCGUGCGGUUUAAUUGGAGUCAACGCCGGAGGGGCUUGCUGGGGAUACUGCGGGCCUUGGGACCGGGAGAGGCCGGGGGUACCCCUGGGGUAGGGGUGAAAUCCUGUAAUCCCAGGGGGACCGCCAGUGGCGAAGGCGCCCGGCUGGAACGGAUCAGACGGUGAGGGACGAAGGCCAGGGGAGCGAACCGGAUUAGAUACCCGGGUAGUCCUGGCUGUAAAGGAUGCGGGCUAGGUGUCGGGCGAGCUUCGAGCUCGCCCGGUGCCGAAGGGAAGCCGUUAAGCCCGCCGCCUGGGGAGUACGGCCGCAAGGCUGAAACUUAAAGGAAUUGGCGGGGGAGCACUACAAGGGGUGGAGCGUGCGGUUUAAUUGGAGUCAACGCCGGA